rnacentral:rRNA from 1 species
UCAAGAGAAAGUUAUUAAGGGCGCACGGGGGAUGCCUAGGCUCUCAGAGGCGAUGAAGGACGUGAUAAGCUGCGAAAAGUCGCGGGGAUCGGCAAAUACGAAUUGAUCCGCGAAUUUCCGAAUGGGACAACCUGAUCGUAAGAUCAUCCGGCUAUGCCGGAAGCUAACCCAGGGAACUGAAACAUCUAAGUACCUGGAGGAAGAGAAAACAAAAGUGAUUCCGUAAGUAGUGGCGAGCGAACGCGGAACAGCCUAAACCAAUAUUGUUUCGGCAAUAUUGGGGUUGUAGGACCACAACAUUUGACAGUACAUUAAGUGGAAGUGUUUGGAAAGACACAUCAAAGAAGGUGAUAAUCCUGUACACGUACAUUGUAUUAGAGAUAGUGGUAUCCUGAGUAGGGCGGGACACGAGAAAUCCUGUCUGAAUCUGCCGGGACCAUCCGGUAAGGCUAAAUACUACUGAGAGACCGAUAGUGAACAAGUACCGUGAGGGAAAGGUGAAAAGCACCCUGAACAAGGGAGUGAAAAAGUACCUGAAACCGUGCGCUUACAAGCUGUAGGAGCUUCAACUUGUUGGAGUGACUGCGUGCCUUUUGCAUAAUGAGCCUACGAGUUAGUCGUCACUGGCAAGGUUAAGUUUUUAAGAAACGGAGCCGAAGCGAAAGCGAGUCUGAACAGGGCGCUUAAGUCAGUGGCGCUAGACGCGAAACCUUGGUGAUCUACCCAUGGUCAGGUUGAAGUUUUGGUAACACAAAAUGGAGGACCGAACCAGGAAACGUUGAAAAGUUUUUGGAUGAACUGUGGGUAGGGGUGAAAGGCCAAUCAAACUGGGAAAUAGCUCGUACUCCCCGAAAUGCAUUUAGGUGCAGCGUCGUGUAUGAGUCUUGUAGAGGUAGAGCUACUGAUUGGAUGCGAGGGCUUCACCGCCUAUCAAAUCCAGACAAACUCCGAAUGCUAUAAGAUGCUUCACGGCAGUGAGGGCAUGGGUGCUAAGGUCCAUGUCCGAGAGGGAAAGAACCCAGACCAUCAGCUAAGGUCCCCAAGUGUAUAUUAAGUUGUAUAAACGAGGUCUGAUUGCUUAGACAGCUAGGAUGUUGGCUUGGAAGCAGCCAUUCAUUUAAAGAGUGCGUAACAGCUCACUAGUCGAGCGAUCGGGCGUGGAUAAUAAUCGGGCAUUAAAUAUACCACCGAAGCUGUGGAUUUAGAAUUUAUUCUAACUGGUAGGGGAGCAUUCUAAUGGCGCAGAAGCAGUAUGGUAAUGUAUUGUGGAGCGAUUAGAAAAGCAAAUGUAGGCAUAAGUAACGAUAAAGCAGGUGAGAAACCUGCUCGCCGAUAGACUAAGGUUUCCUGAUCAACGCUAAUCGGAUCAGGGUUAGUCGGGGCCUAAGGCGUACCCGAAGGGGGAAGUCGAUGGACAAUUGGUUAAUAUUCCAAUACCUUUUGAUACUGCGAUGGGGUGACGAAGUGAUGAAAGACCCGCGUACUGACGGAAUAGUACGUUAAAUGGCGUAAGUUUUGAGACUCAUAGGCAAAUCCGUGAGUUGAGCUGAAACCAGACAGUACCGAGAGCCUUCGGGCAAUCGGAUAGUGGUCCUAAGGGCUUCCAAGAAAAACCUCUAAGCUUCAGGUAUCAAAAGCCCGUACCGCAAACCGACACAGGUAGUCAAGGAGAGAAUCCUGAGGCGCUCGAGUGAUUCAUGGCUAAGGAACUAGGCAAAAUCGCCCCGUAACUUCGGGAGAAGGGGCGCUCUACUCCGGUAGAGCCGCAGUGAAAAGGCGCAUGCGACUGUUUAUCAAAAACACAUGGCUAUGCUAAAUUGAAAGAUGAUGUAUAUGGCCUGACACCUGCCCGGUGCCGGAAGGUUAAGAGGGGAUGUUAUCUUCGGAGAAGCAUUGAAUCGAAGCCCCGGUAAACGGCGGCCGUAACUAUAACGGUCCUAAGGUAGCGAAAUUCCUUGUCGGGUAAGUUCCGACCUGCACGAAUGGUGUAACGAUGUGCGCACUGUCUCGGCCAUGAGCUCGGUGAAAUUGUAGUCUCGGUGAAGAUGCCGAGUACCCGCAACGGGACGGAAAGACCCCGUGAACCUUUACUGCAGCUUCACAUUGAUUCUGGGUAAGUGAUGUGUAGGAUAGGACGGAGACUAUGAAGCGGGUUCGCCAGGAUUCGUGGAGUCAUCCUUGAAAUACGUCCCUUUGCUUACUUGGAACCUAAUCCCGCAAAACGGGAGACAGUGUGUGGUGGGUAGUUUGACUGGGGUGGUCGCCUCCAAAAGAGUAACGGAGGCUUCUAAAGGUACCCUCAUGACGAUUGGUAACCGUCAGAAGAGUAUAAUGGUAUAAGGGUGCUUGACUGCGAGACUGACAAGUCGACCAGGUAGGAAACUAGAGCAUAGUGAUCCGGUGGUUCCGUAUGGAAGGGCCAUCGCUCAAAGGAUAAAAGGUACUCCGGGGAUAACAGGCUGAUCGCUCCCAAGAGCUCAGAUCGACGGAGCGGUUUGGCACCUCGAUGUCGGCUCGUCACAUCCUGGGGCUGGAGAAGGUCCCAAGGGUUGGGCUGUUCGCCCAUUAAAGUGGCACGCGAGCUGGGUUCAGAACGUCGUGAGACAGUUCGGUCCCUAUCUGUUGUGGGCGUUGGAAAUUUGAGAGGGCCUGCCGCUAGUACGAGAGGACCGCGGUGGACAUACCUCUAGUGUACCUGUUGUGGCGCCAGCUGCAUUGCAGGGUAGCUAUGUAUGGAAUGGAUAAGUGCUGAAAGCAUCUAAGCACGAAGCCAGCCUCAAGAUGAGAUUUCCUUUAAGGGUCGUGAGAGACUAUCACGUUGAUAGGCUGCAGGUGUAAAGUCAGUGAUGGCAAAGCCGAGCAGUACUAAUUACCCGUAGACUUUCCUUG